rnacentral:rRNA from 1 species
AUUCCAGCUCCAAUAGCGUAUAUUAAAGUUGUUGCCGUUAAAAAGCUCGUAGUCGAACUUCGGGUCCUGUCCGCCGGUCCGCCUUCUUGGUGUGUACUUGUUGGAUGGGACCUUACCUCCUGGUGAACAGCGAUGUCCUUUACUGGGUGUCGUUGCAAACCAGGACGUUUACUUUGAAAAAAUUAGAGUGUUCAAAGCAGGCCUUUGCCCGAAUACAUUAGCAUGGAAUAAUAGAAUAGGACGCGCGUUCCCAUUUUGUUGGUUUCUGAGAUCGCCGUAAUGAUUAAUAGGGAUAGUUGGGGGCAUUUGUAUUCCGACGUCAGAGGUGAAAUUCUUGGAUUGCCGGAAGACAAACUACUGCGAAAGCAUUUGCCAAGGAUGUUUUCAUCA